GGAGCUUAUGGGGACAACGGGUCAUUUAUGUAUCAGCAUGGCUAUGGUUAUGCACCCUAUAGUCCAUAUUCACCUGCUACUUCCCCUGUCCCGACUGUGGGGCAUGACGGCCAGCUUUAUGGAGCACAACACUACCACUAUCCAUAUUUCCAGCCCCUCCCUCCAACCAGUACUCCAUACACUACUCCAGUUGCCCCGCCAAAAGGUGAGAUCGCCACCUCUGCUGCUGCUGACCAAGCACCAUUGUCUGUGGAUUCUGCUAAUGGAAAUUCUAAUGGCGUUGCAAAUGGUGGUGUAAAGGGAAAUACCGCGCCUACGCCUGUGAGGCCUGCAUUCCAGAAUUCNNN
rnacentral:lncRNA from 1 species